GUGUCAGCCGCCGCGGUAAUACAGAGGUGGCGAGCGUUAUUCGGAAUUAUUGGGCGUAAAGGGCGCGUAGGCGGCCAAGCAAGUCCUGGGUGAAAUCCCUCGGCUCAACCGAGGAACUGCCUCGGAAACUGCAUGGCUCGAGGCCGGGAGAGGGUAGCGGAAUUCCCAGUGUAGCGGUGAAAUGCGUAGAUAUUGGGAGGAACACCGGUGGCGAAGGCGGCUACCUGGACCGGUUCUGACGCUGAUGCGCGAAAGCGUGGGGAGCAAACAGGAUUAGAUACCCCCGUAGUCC
rnacentral:rRNA from 1 species